CCCUAACUUAAAACACCGGGGUCAGUGCCGCGCGGAACCUGCGCGCAGCCCCUGUAGCCCCGCCCACUCUCCGCACGCGACCCGCCGGGUGAGCGCCGGGGAGGCCGCAGCCGAGGAGCCGCGCGGCGCGUCUCCCCGUCUCCGCCGUGCCAGAUUCCACAGUAAGUUAUGCCGGCAGUCACUUUAGGGCCAAGCUUACCUGCAUAAACAGAUUUUCUUGUUAAGAAGAUACAACCCAUCCUGGAUUCUCUUGCCCAUCCUCGGCCACCAACAGAAUGGCGGCUUCAUCUCAUCACAUCGGGGCCGCUGGGAGACUAAGCGAAGCGUGUGUACGAAGUGAUCCCAGCGCCUCGCGCGACGAACCGUUCAUCGACUGGGACCAUUUGCUGCACGCGGUGGCAGCCUCACCGCGGGAACGCCUCCGGCACGGAGCCCACCGCUCCCACGUCUGCCCUUGCAGAGUCCGGGUGAGAGAGGGUUACCUGCCCACCGGCCCGGGCACCCGCCGACUGCAUUCGAGCCCCAAAUCCUUGAGGAGGCCUUGCUUCUUCCCCGGCCUUCCUGGGACGCCACAGCCCCCCAGAGCGGCCCCACGGCACUAUGCACGCCUGCCUUUGCACCCCACUUGCUGUGUCCUGGAGCUUCUCCCCUGCCGACUGUGAGCUCCGGGAGGGAACCGCCUCAGGCUCCAGGAGAGAACCGCCUCCCUCCGGGAGGGAACUGCUCAGGCUCCCAGGCAGGAGGCCAGUGUUGGAGGAACAUUCUGAGGUCUGCAGAAGCCAACUGUGGACUCUGUUCUUUUGCAGCAGACACGUCAGAGAGCUGUACUUUUAUGAGUUGCGGGGGUGGAGAUGAUUCUUUGUCCGGGACAUUUGAACCUGAGUCAGAAUGGUCUUACAGGGCAGUUCAGCGUCAGGGUCAUGUGGAACUAGGCCCGGGGGACACUUUCGACUGGCACCACACAGGACUGUAGCUCAGGGAAAGCGGACCCAGGGCCCAGGGGCAGAGACAAAGGGAGAUGAGAAAUACCCAAACGCAGAGGCCAUCCAGGUGGCCAGGGGACAGAGCUCAAAGAAAAGCAAGAGGGCUGGAUUUAGUUCCAUUGGCCUCUGGCAAACCGAGUGGAUGCGUCUCCUGGAUGUGGAUUUGCACUCCCUGCCCGUAAUGCGUUUCCCAGCACGGCCGUCCGUGGACUGAUGGAAUGCCUAUUUACCAGCAUGGCAUCCUGCAUAGUACUUUUAAUUAAAAAAACUCAUUUCACAGCAAAUGAAGUCAGGCAAUGGACUUGUGAUCACGUAACUCACGGGUUUUUACCGCAUCCCUCACCACGCAGAAACAGCUGGAUAAAUAGAAGAGUGAAAUGGCCCAUGGAAGACUCAGCUACAAUGCCAUGGGGACACGACAUCCUGAAAGGGCAGAGUUCUGCCUUUUUUUCCCUCCGAAGGUUUUUUUUUGAGAGAGAGAAAUCUGGAACGCCUCACGAAUUUGCGUGUCAGCCUCGCACAGGGCCCGUGCUCAUCUCUGCAUCGUUCCAAUUUUAGGAUAGGUGCUGCCGAAGCGAGCACAGGGGAGAGUUCUACCUUAAAGGCUGCGGUAUAUGCUUUGCCUUUACUACUCUCCCCCAACCAGAAUUCAUGGGUCCAGGAAUCCAGGGAUGGGAGUGGGAGUGGCUCCUCUCGCGGGUCCACUCAAAGUGGCUCUGCUGACUUGGAGAUUUUGGUUUUCAGAGCAGGAAUGUUUCUACCAGGGAACACAGCAAUGGUUCCAUUUUUUUUUUUUUUUUAAUUUAUUUAUUUUGAGAGAGUGCGUGCAUGCACAUGCACACAGCUGGGGAGGGGCAGAGAGGAGAGACUGAAGCCCAAGCAGUCUCCGUGCCAUCAGUGCGGAGCCCGAAGCGGGGCUCGAACUCACGAACUGUGAGAUCAUGACCUGAGCCAAUUCAGGAGUCAGACGCAUACAGGCUGAGCCACCCAGGCGCCCAGCGAUGGCUCCAGUGGGUUGCAUAUUGAGGCUCACCUGGCUAUCUGGGGCUCAUCGGGACACUGAACCAACAAGCUAGUAUGGGGAUUAGUCUACUGGCUGGAGAGUAUUACCGAGGGAAGUCUGGGUGCUGCGAUACAACAGGAGCAGGGAAGACCGUGGCUGGAACCUAGAAAAUCCUGUAGGUCCCUCUUAGAAAUAGCAACAAUGAAUGAAAAACUAAAAAAAAAUAAAGGCAGGACAAUUAAUUCAGACCCUUUAGGAAUGAAGGUUUGGAUCAACCAUGCCAAAAGAAUUCUGACCAGCUGAGAUCCUCCUGGCUGAGGGCAAAGGAAAUAGAGACCAGGUAGUGGAAACAGCAGUUAUAAAUAUCAACUCCAGCUUCACAACACACUCUACAUAUUCUUUCUGGAUUGUUCUGUGUGUACACACACACGUUCCUUUUCACUCCUCAUUAUCUCGUGCUGUUUCUGUUGGAAGCUAACUUUGCCAUGUAGUCUACUUUUCCCCAUUUUUUAAAAAUUUUUAGAGCAAGAGAAUGGGGGAGAGGGGCGGAGGAGAGAGAGGGAGAGAGAGAGAGAGGGGGAGAGAAUCAUACGCAGGCUCCACAUUCAGCACAGAGCCUGAUGUGGGGCUUAGUCCCACGACUCUGGGAUCAUGACCUUAGCCAAAAUCAACAGAUGGAUACCCAACUGACUGAGCCCCCCAGGCGCCCCUACCAUGUAGGGCUUAGGUCUCAUUCUGUUAUCCUAUAUUCUCCUCAGACAAGACUGUGACUGGAUGGGAGGAAUCGACAUGGCCCAGAGAUCCAUACAUUGAUUGUUGGGUUUUACAUUUCCUUAGUUUGGAGAGAGUGCGUCCAUCUUCUUAAAAUCAGUUACAUCUUGGGCAGAAACAGUUAAGUAGCUUUUGUGAUCGUAUUAAAGCUCAAAUGUAUGUCAAGGGGUGUGUACAGAUGCUGUGUGGCUAAAGGGGAAGGCUCUACCAAUUAUUAAGCUCUUCUCAGCCUCACGCCCAGUAUUUUUAACUGUUUGUGUGAUGCUGGGCACGGGACUCUGCUGACAUUUCUGCUCUGCCAGCUGGCAUCCCAUUGGGCCUCUCCAGCAGGAUGCACCUGAGGGAGGCCUCAGUGCCGGAGGAAGAAAAGGGACCUGUUCCCUCCUGUCCCCAUCAGCAUCACCCCUGUGCAGCAGCAGCAGCAGCAGCACGUUCCCAGAGCCACAGCCAGAGCCACAGCCAGACCCAGUCGUCACUUCUGACCCCUCUGACCCCCCCGGAGCCGCUCUGUUGUGCCCCAGGGACACCAGCACCGGGCGAGCACCCAUCCGGAGGCAGCUCUUCCUGGAGUUGCUACUUCCUGGUUCUUCCACUGUCAAAAAUCCUAUCCUAUUGUUAACAUGACUUGCGUGGGUUCUGUCUUCUAUUUGGACCAUGACUGACAGACACAGGAAGCUUCUAUCUAUUGAAACGGAGUCCCAAGACUGUAUCGUUUAAAUCCUUCAUCAACAAUGACUGAGGCUCUGCAACGUCUCUUUCUCCCAUGGUUUUUCACAUGGGCACUUGGGGAUUUCCUCAAAUUCUAAUCCUUUGAAUUUCCUUCUGUUCCAAUAGUCCUCACCCCAAGCUGAGAAUUAAAAUAAACUGUAUUUGGAUAUUAAAAUUUUAAAUUGAGAAUAUUUUUAGAACACAUGUCAAGGAUACUGCAUUGUCUGAACUGUCCUACACGUUUUGUUCCGGAAUGGACUUAAAAGAGCCACGCACGCAAGAGCAGAAUUCGCAGCAACCACCGCCAGUGCCCCCAUUUCCCUUCAUUAAGAGUCCACAACCUGGUUCUUGCGGAUAGUUUUCAUUUAUUACUGCAGUAGACAAUCGCUCUGAAAGUGCAACACUAAAUCACUUUGUCACAGCCUCUGCCCCUCCACUGGCAAAUUCUUGGAAGUUCAUUCUUGGAGCAUCGCGGACCACAAGCUUCUCUCUAGGUGGAUAAUUAUUGCCACUGCCAAGGUCACAGGAAAAAAAAAAAAAAAACCCACACACA